CUUAUGCCCAAGAAGUGUUGAGAUCUGCCCAAACGCAUUGCCACAUACACACUGAUAGGGCCUCUCGCCCAUGUGGACCCGCUGGUGCGGGAUGUGGCAGGAACUCUGGCUGAAAGUUUCGUGGCAGCCGCUGCAGUCAUCAGGCCUCUCACCCGUGUGUGUACCUGCGGGUGCUGCAAGCGGGUUGAGCUCCUUAGGAAGCGCUUGUGGCAGCGUUUGCUUGCGUAGGGCCUGCGUGGAGUACGAGAUAGACGCUGAGGAAGAAGACGGUUAACUGCCGGAGGCAUGCGCACAGCGGUGGUGCUAAGAGCUUGCUGGGGGAGUGGCCGAAGUCCCUAGGCCCACGCAGGUGCUGGAUCUGGUUGGAGUGCUGCUCCCACGCCGACUUCCCCUUGGCGCACUCUUACGGUCUUUCCCUUGCAAGGAAAUGCAUCCUCGGGUGGAUCUGGAGGUGAGAGAGAAAGAGACUAUCUCAGCACUGGGGUUGGAGUCACAGAAGGACCACGCAAGGCUUCAGUGUUGAAGGUCCUGGGCCAAGCUAAGCAGCAGCUAUGAAUCAUCAUUUCAGCUCCUGAUUGGUCCCGGACCAAGCUGAGUCAAGCGUUCGCCAGGACAGACCGCAGACUAAGCGCAUUCCCUCUCCUUUCCAGUCCAUAAAAACCCCAGAACGGGCCCCAUAAUGGGUACUCCCGGUCGGGACCCCUACUCUGCUGGCAGAGAGCUUUUUCCUUUCGCUUAUUAAACUUUCGCUCUAACCUCA